CUGGCCAAACUCUCCAUUGUCCCAGUGCGCAGAGGCUACUGGGGGAACAAGACUGGCAAGCCCCACACCGUCCCUUGCAAGGUGACAGGCCGCUGCGGCUCUGUGCUGGUGCGCCUCAUGCCUGCACCCAGGGGCACUGGCAUGGUCUCAGCGCCUGUGCCCAAGAAGCUGCUCAUGAUGGCUGGUAUUGAUGACUGCUACACCGCAGCCCGGGGCUGCACUGCCACCCUGGGCAACUUCGCCAAGGCCACCUUUGAUGCCAUCUCUAAGACCUACAGCUACCUGACGCCUGACCUCUGGAAGGAGACUGUGUUUACCAAGUCUCCCUAUCAGAAAUUCACUGACCACCUUGUCAAGACCCGCACCAGAGUCUCCGUGCAGCGGGCCCAGGCUCCAGCUGUGGCUACAACACAGGGUUUUUAUACAAGAAAAAUAAAGUGAAUUAAGCCUGUUAAAAAAA